rnacentral:rRNA from 1 species
CACGUAGGCACCAAGCGUUGUCCGGAUUUAUUGGGCGUAAAGAGCUCGUAGGCGGUUCGGUAAGUCGGGUGUGAAAACUUUGGGCUCAACCCAAAGCCUGCACUCGAUACUGCUGUGACUUGAGUCCGGUAGGGGAGUGGGGAAUUCCUGGUGUAGCGGUGGAAUGCGUAGAUAUCAGGAGGAACACCGGUGGUGUAGACGGCUUUCUGGACCGUAACUGACGCUGAGACACGAAAGCGUGGGUAGCAAACAGG